rnacentral:lncRNA from 10 species
UCCUUGCUCUGUUGCCCAGGCUGCUGUGCAGUGGCAUGACCAUAGUUCACUGCAACCUCAAACUCCUGAGCUUCAGCGAUCCUCCCACCUCAGCCUCCCAAGUAGUCCCAUAGUCCCAGCCCCUGAGCUGGGACUACAGGCUGAUAUGAUCUGAAAAUGCUACGGAGAUUAUGAGAAAGAAAAUGGGGUUUUAUGGUGAAAUAAACUAGGGAAAUGAUGCUUUCCAUAAAUACAUAAUGCUUCUUUACCGUGAAUUCUCAGCCCUUUAAUACACUAAGGUGAACUGUGAAUCUUCUAGUGUGGGAGGUAUACGCAGCAUUUUCCAAAUUUAUC